rnacentral:tRNA from 1 species
GGCGGUGAUGGGAAGUGGCGUUGACGGGUUUGCUAAACCGUUAUAGGGGCUCAAACCCCUAUCGUGGGUUCGAAUCCCAUCCCCUCCGCCA